ensembl:lncRNA
CGCCGGGCGAGUUACGCCACAAUUUGCCAAUGGAUUGUAGAUGCUUGGGCUAACAUGUCUGCUGGCACUGUUGUUCGAGCUUUCGCAAAAGCCGGCAUCAUUUCCGAGGAGCCGCACGGCACGGAAAGUGACUCUGACAGUGAAGAAAGUGAACUUGGCAUGUUUGAUGGAGAUUUAGCGCAGCUGUUCAAUUCAGACACAGAGGAUGAGGACUUCGAUGGGUUUGAUUGAUGAUAAAAAUGUGAGUACCAAACUUUGUUUUGCUCCUGCUUUAUUUUUAAAUAUGCACACUUUUUUUUUUUUUUUUUUUUUUUUUUUUGAUUUCCAUUGUUUAUUCAGAAGGCACAUUUACAGGAGACACAUUUCCAAACAACCAAAAACGCAAAUAGACCUACUCAAUGUUGUACAUUGCAGUACCAUGAAUUCAGAUAAAGCAAAAAAAACAACAACAACACAAUAAUACUGCAAUAGAAAAAACACUAUACUGUAAACACAAAAAACCAUGACAAUUGUGCAUACGUGGGCUCAUGGAUCCCGCCGUCUGUUGGGGUCUGGCCACAGGACCUCAUCAACAUCGCAAGCAAUGUCCUCUCCCGCUAGGCACCGGGGAAAAUAUCCUCCUGCAUGUCGAAACCAUCCAUGGAUUGCUGUCACCUGAAUGUCGCCGCAGGCCUGUUCCUGUCAUGGUCCUGGGUCGGUGACCCAGCGCUUUUAGUUAUCAUUUUCUAGUUUAUGAUGAUGAUUAUUAUUGUUUGAGUUCUGUGUGUUAUAUUUGGUCUGCCUUUGAGUCUGUCUCUGUCUAUGGUGUCACCCCAUCUGUUUGUGAAUCUGUCUGUUUAGUUCAAUGUCUUGUCUGGUUCCAUGUGUCUGAGUUUCCUGUUUUAUUGUGAAGGUUUGUGUCAUAUGUGAGUGUGCUCAGUUUACGUUUCCCCUGUCUCGUCAGCUGUGAUUUCUCCCAGGUGUGUUCCCCUCCUGUCUCUCAUCCCUUGAUUACUGCCGUCUGUGUAUUUAAGCCCUGUGUUUCUCUGUGUCAGUGUCGCGUCGUACCCUCAACUAGCUGUGUGUUCUGCUUCUAUGUUCCUAGUGUUUGGUCUCCUGCUCCAGUUUAGUGUUUCUUUCCAGUGUUUCAGUCCUUGGUUCCUCUGUUCUGACUUUUGGUUUUCUUUUGGUGAGUUUAGUUUGUACGAGGUUUUUUC